rnacentral:rRNA from 1 species
AGUGAACGCUGGCGGUAGGCCUAACACAUGCAAGUCGAACGGCAGCACAGUAAGAGCUUGCUCUUACGGGUGGCGAGUGGCGGACGGGUGAGGAAUACAUCGGAAUCUACUUUUUCGUGGGGGAUAACGUAGGGAAACUUACGCUAAUACCGCAUACGACCUACGGGUGAAAGCAGGGGAUCUUCGGACCUUGCGCGAUUGAAUGAGCCGAUGUCGGAUUAGCUAGUUGGCGGGGUAAAGGCCCACCAAGGCGACGAUCCGUAGCUGGUCUGAGAGGAUGAUCAGCCACACUGGAACUGAGAAACGGUCCAGACUCCUACGGGAGGCAGCAGUGGGGAAUAUUGGACAAUGGGCGAAAGCCUGAUCCAGCCAUACCGCGUGGGUGAAGAAGGCCUUCGGGUUGUAAAGCCCUUUUGUUGGGAAAGAAAAGCAGCAGGUUAAUACCCCGCUGUUCGGACGGUACCCAAAGAGUAAGCACCGGCUAACUUCGG